rnacentral:rRNA from 1 species
CCUACGGGCGGCAGCAGUGAGGAAUAUUGGUCAAUGGGCGGGAGCCUGAACCAGCCAAGCCGCGUGAGGGAAGAAGGUACAGCGUAUCGUAAACCUCUUUUGUCAGGGAACAAAGGCGGGGACUAGUCCCCGGAUGAGGGUACCUGAAGAAAACGCAUCGGCUAACUCCGUGACAGCAGCCGCGGUAAUACGGAGGAUGCGAGCGUUGUCCGGAUUUAUUGGGGUUAAAGGGUGCGCAGGCGGCCUGUUAAGUAAGCGGUAAAAGCCCGGGGCGCAACCCCGGCGAGCCGUUGAAACUGGCGGGCUGGAGUUGGAGUGAAGUACGCGGAAGGCGCGGUGUAGCGGUGAAAUGCUUAGAUGGCGCGCAGAACCCCGAUUGAGAAGGCAGCGUACCGGCUCCACACUGACGAUGAGGCACGAAAGCGUGGGUAUCGAACAGGAUUAGAUACCCCUGUAGUC